UCUCAAGCUAAAUGAAGGAAAGCUAACUUGACACGCUCAUCGUCUUCCCCGACAGAGCUCGUGAUCGUGCAGCCGAACCCCAGAUAAGGACAGAUCUCAAAUUCCUCCGAGAACGCAAAUCCAUGCGUACAGAACAAACCACGGUUUCCUUCUUUUCUUUUCUUUUCUUUUUCUUGAGUUUUCUGAGGAAGCGACACGAGGCUCGCACGUUAAUGUAUGAAAGAGAUCAGGUCGCGAAACCGGUAACAAUGCCCUGCAACUUUUGUUUCUCUCUUUCUUUUUGGGGGGGCUCUCUUUCUUAUCUCCGGGCACGUCAUUGACGAGGGCGUGCAAUGAUUUGGCCUUAAAAUAAUGGUCUUGCUUGUGCUAUUUUACUAGCAAGAAAAUCAAGAAAGCGGGUUACAGAGAGAGAGAGAGAGAGAGCGCGUUCGUUCUCUCCAAUGGGAGAAUGGGCAGUGAAUUUCCGUGUGUUCUUGUCAUUCGAUGCUAAGACGGGUCGGAAGCCUCUUCACUCCGCGCCCGAGUUCGAUCGACGGAUCGAUGAUCUGAUGAUAGCCCGCUGCUCGAGUUGAAUUGGGCUCGCGAAUUUUGGGGAGCUUCUUGGGUUUGUCCCAAUUUUCCUCCGAUCGCGUCUGUCUGUGGUGCACGCAAUCUUGCUGUUUCUCCGCUUUCAAAUCCACCGUUUCUUCUUUCUCGGGUUCGUCGAUCUAGUUCCUUUGUGGGUUUGGUUUCUUGGUGUGGUUGGAUCGAAAGUAAGGGACUUUUCUUGAUGAUUUUAUGCUUGAUCUGUUCGUCAGAAUUAUGUUUAUCGUGGUUUUUAUGAGGAUGGACGAUCCAGGGAUUGUUUGUUCAGGUCUCUGCUUGAACAACGCGUUUCGUAGAGCUUGUAUCUUCUACUCAUCUUGAGCUGAUGAUUGUCCCAUUCAACUUAACUAAUGCUUUUGAGAGGAACUUAGCAUGGGAAAAUGAUGGAAGCAUCUGGUGAAGAUAAUUUGUUUCCUAAAGUCCUGAUAAUAUAAGUAGAUUUUCAUUCAAGCUUGUGGAGAGGGUGAGAUUACUUCCCGUAGGGGUGGUGCUGGUGUGUUCAUCUGGGUCCGGGACAAUCUAUAAUCGUUCGAGAUGUGUUGUGAGAUUGAUAGGACUACCUGCUGAUAGUAGAAUUGGUGCUGCAAAUGGAUCAGAUAGUAUCACGGUUUCUGUUAAAGAGUUUGCACAUUAUUUUGGAUUCGAGGAUUCCUUCUCUGCAUCCAAAUGACCAAAGAAGUGACCACCGUACAGUUUCUCGUGCGAGAAAGAAUGACAAA